rnacentral:rRNA from 1 species
GCUCACGACGAACGCUAGACGGCGUGCUUACACAUGCAAGUCGAGCGGAGAUUGCAUUUAUGUAAUCUUAGCGGCGGACGGGUGAGUAACGCGUAGGCAACCUGCCUUGCACAGAGGGAUAACACCGGGAAACUGGUGCUAAUACCACAUGAUAUCAUAACAAGGCAUCUUGAAAUGAUCAAAGGAGAAAUCCGGUGCAAGAUGGGCCUGCGUCCGAUUAGUUAGUCGGUGAGGUAACGGCUCACCAAGGCGACGAUCGGUAGCCGAACUGAGAGGUUGAUCGGCCACAUUGGGACUGAGACACGGCCCAGACUCCUACGGGAGGCAGCAGUGGGGAAUAUUGCGCAAUGGGGGGAACCCUGACGCAGCAACGCCGCGUGAAGGAAGAAGGCCUUCGGGUUGUAAACUUUUUUGAUUGGGGAAGAAAAAAAUGACGGUACCCAAGGAACAAGCCACGGCUAACUACGUGCCAGCAGCCGCGGUAAUACGUAGGUGGCGAGCGUUGUCCGGAAUUACUGGGUGUAAAGGGCGUGUAAGGCGGGAUUGUAAGUCAGAUGUGAAAUUCCAGGGCUUAACUCUGGAGGUGCAUCUGAAACUAUCAUUCUUGAGUGCUGGAGAGGAAAGCGGAAUUCCUAGUGUAGCGGUGAAAUGCGUAGAUCUUAGGAAGAACACCAGUGGCGAAGGCGGCUUUCUGGACAGUAAACUGACGCUGAGGCGCGA